rnacentral:rRNA from 1 species
GCACCUUCGGUGUCCGAGUUGUAAUCUCUAGAAAUGUUUUCCGCGUUGGACCGCACACAAGUCUGUUGGAAUACAGCGGCAUAGUGGUGAGACCCCCGUAUAUGGUGCGGACGCCCAGCUCUUUGUGAUACAUUUUCAAAGAGUCGAGUUGUUUGGGAAUGCAGCUCAAAUUGAGUGGAAAAUUCCAUCUAAAGCUAAAUAUUGGCGAGAGACCGAUAGCGAACAAGUACCGUGAGGGAAAGAUGAAAAGCACUUUGGAAAGAGAGUUAACAGUACGUGAAAUUGUUGGAAGGGAAACGCUUGAAGUCAGACUUGCUUGCCGAGCAAUCGGUUUGCAGGCCAGCAUCAGUUUUCCGGGAUGGAUAAUGGUAGAGAGAAGGUAGCAGUUUCGGCUGUGUUAUAGCUCUCUGCUGGAUACAUCUUGGGGGACUGAGGAACGCAGUGUGCCUUUGGCGGGGGUUUCGACCUCUUCACACUUAGGAUGCUGGUGGAAUGGCUUUAAACGAC